GAUGAACGCUGGCGGCGUGCCUAAUACAUGCAAGUCGAGCGAACGGAUGAGAACUUUGUCUCUCAGAUGCAAGCGGCGGACGGGUGAUUACAACGUGGAAACCUUACUGUAAAGCUGGGGUAACUCUCGGGAAACCGUAGCUAUACCCGGUAACUAUUUCGCUCCGAAUGGUUCAAACGUGAAAGUCGGUCCUGCCGACAAUUAUCGAUGGAUCCGCGCUGCAUUAGCUAGUUGGUAAGGUAACGGCUUACCAAGGCGACGAUGCAUAGCCGACCUGAGAGGGUGAUCGGCCACACUGGAACUGAGACACGGUCCAGACUCCUACGGGAGGCAGCAGUAGGGAAUCUUCCGCAAUGGGCGAAAGCCUGACGGAGCAACGCCGCGUGAGUGAUGAAGGUCUUCGGAUCGUAAAACUCUGUUAUUAGGGAAGAACAGAUGUAGGAGUAACUGUGCACAUCUUGACGGUACCUAAUCAGAAAGCCACGGCUAACUACGUG
rnacentral:rRNA from 1 species